CUUUAUCCUAGAUGCAUCACAUGUUGGUGUUGGAAAUAAGCCACACCCGGGCCAACGAUGGACUGGUCCAAGAGGGGCCAGUAGCUCAGUGGUAGAGCACUCCAGCAGCGUAUGGAAGGUCCUAGGUUCGAGUCCUAGCUGGUCCAUGUCUCAACAUAGUAUCAGAGCCAGGUCCAGGCUAAGAGCCCCAAGCACACGAGAGGUGUGGCUUAAGGGGGGGUUUUGGUGUUGGAAAUAAGCCACACCCGAACCAAUGAUGGACUGGUCCAAGAGGGGCCAGUAACUCAGUGGUAGAGCACUCCAGCAGUGUAUGGAAGGUCCUGGGCUCGCGUCCUAGCUGAUCCAUGUCUCAACAUCACAUUGUCAGUCUUUGAACCAAGAAUCCGUGGACUUAGUGAUUGAGAUAAAAUGUUCACUUUUUUAAGAAAUGGCUGGAUCUUCGCCAGUGAUUCAGUGACAGAAACGAAUUGGUAGCACUACCUGUUGAUUGUGUUCAAUGAUGAGAUUGAUGGGCUCCUGCACACUGCCUAGCAUACACGAUUUCAUGGUGAAAGCGGAAUUGUGGGCAUUGAUGGUGAUUGAUUGACGAUUAGCAGAGUGGUCCUGGUCCUGUUUUGCAGGGAAGAAAAAGAAGCAGAAGUGCAUUGGACAAUCUGCAACCGGUGUUUGCCUUCUGGUAAACUUGCCUUCAAGAAUUAGAAACAAGGAUGGCGGAAAGUAAUCGUAGCAGAAAGUUCUAGGUUGUGUAUGUGUAGGCAGGGGAUUUGGAGAAAAGAGAGGAGAAAAUAUGGCAUUCUUUCCUCCAACUUUUACACACCUGUGCUUGCAUACUUGCCAACAAUGGAACAGUCCAAUUAUUUGCAUUUGCUCUUUAUAGCCUAAUGGCCCUAAACAAAUGUGAAUUGUUCACAAUUCAGUCUUUUCGUACAUAUAUUGUUGGAUUAGUUCAGGGACAGAAAUUGGGGUAAUUCGUUAAGUCAAUUCUUUCCAAGUGAUUACACAGGAGGAUGAAUGGGAAACAGGAGAAAAGAUGAUUUGGCAACACUGACUGAUCACACAGGUGGGUUCAAGAGGUUAUUCUCAAUUGCUGGCAGACAUUUGUAAACUGCUUUAAGGAAUUCUCCCUGCAUGACGUGGAUAAUCAUAUAUCCAAUUCCAAGAGGAGCUCAUGGAAAAUUCCAUAAGUUAUGCAAAAAAGAAGAAGAAAGGUUCUGGAGCAGCUUCAACAAAUCAAAUAACCAUUUUUUACAAUUUUAGCAUGAUCACAUGUCUACUCAAUGAAUUUUGUAAUAUAGUGUAGACAAGUUAAGAAACCUAUGUGAAUUUCAACAUGUUCAUAGGUCUAGUCAUUGUAAAUUUGUAAUAUAGUUGUCCUUGCUAUUAAUAGUUUUAUUUUGUAUUGAUUGCCUUA